GAGUUUGAUCGUGGCUCAGAUUGAAUGCUGGCGGCAUGCCUUACACAUGCAAGUCGAACGGCAGCACGGGAGCUUGCUCCUGGUGGCGAGUGGCGAACGGGUGAGUAAUGCAUCGGAACGUAUCCUGGAGUGGGGGAUAACGUAGCGAAAGUUACGCUAAUACCGCAUAUUCUGUGAGCAGGAAAGCGGGGGACCUUCGGGCCUCGCGCUCUUGGAGCGGCCGAUGUCGGAUUAGCUAGUUGGUGAGGUAAAGGCUCACCAAGGCGACGAUCCGUAGCAGGUCUGAGAGGAUGAUCUGCCACACUGGAACUGAGACACGGUCCAGACUCCUACGGAGGCAGCAGUGGGGAAUUUUGGAUAAUGGGGGCAACCCUGAUCCAGCCAUGCCGCGUGAGUGAAGAAGGCCUGUGUAAG
rnacentral:rRNA from 1 species